UACGUAGGGUGCGAGCGUUAAUCGGAAUUGCUGGGCGUAAAGCGUGCGCAGGCGGUUCGUUAAGUUCGUUGUGAAAGCCCCGGGCUCAACCUGGGAAUGGCAAUGGAAACUGGCGAGCUUGAGUGUGGCAGAGGGGGGUGGAAUUCCGCGUGUAGCAGUGAAAUGCGUAGAGAUGCGGAGGAACACCGAUGGCGAAGGCAGCCCCCUGGGCCAACACUGACGCUCAGGCACGAAAGCGUGGGGAGCAAACAGG
rnacentral:rRNA from 1 species